GACGAACGCUGGCGGCGUGCUUAACACAUGCAAGUCGAACGGAAGGCCCUGCUUUUGUGGGGUGCUCGAGUGGCGAACGGGUGAGUAGCACGUGAGUAACCUGCCCUUGACUUUGGGAUAACUUCAGGAAACUGGGGCUAAUACCGGAUAGGAGCUCCUGCUGCAUGGUGGGGGUUGGAAAGUUUCGGCGGUUGGGGAUGGACUCGCGGCUUAUCAGCUUGUUGGUGGGGUAGUGGCUUACCAAGGCUUUGACGGGUAGCCGGCCUGAGAGGGUGACCGGCCACAUUGGGACUGAGAUACGGCCCAGACUCCUACGGGAGGCAGCAGUGGGGAAUAUUGCACAAUGGGCGGAAGCCUGAUGCAGCAACGCCGCGUGCGGGAUGACGGCCUUCGGGUUGUAAACCGCUUUCGCCUGUGACGAAGCGUGAGUGACGGUAAUGGGUAAAGAAGCACCGGCUAACUACGUG
rnacentral:rRNA from 1 species